ACAGGUUGGAGGUCGGGCAGUGAGUGACUACCCUAACUCGUAAUGAUCCCUUCCGUAGGGUUAACCUGCGGAAGGAUCAUUACCGAGUUAGGGUAGUCACUCACUGCCCGACCUCCCAACCCUGUGUCUACCACACUGUCGUUGCUUCGGCGGACCGGUUGACCAACUGGUCGUGACCGCCGGGGGCUGGCUCUGUCCCCCCUGGAGAGCGUCCGCCGAUGGCCCAACCCCAAAAACUCUUGUACCGAAACGUGUCGUCUGAAUUAUAUUUGAGAAAUCAAAAAACAAAACUUUCAACAACGGAUCUCUUGGUUCUGGCAUCGAUGAAGAACGCAGCGAAAUGCGAUAAGUAAUGCGAAUUGCAGAAUUUCCGUGAGUCAUCGAAUCUUUGAACGCACAUUGCGCCCAUUGGUAUUCCGAUGGGCAUGCCUGUUCGAGCGUCAUUAUCCUCCCUCAAACCUCGUGUUUGGUGUUGGACCGCGUUGGUCGAGCGACCAACUGGUCUCAAAGACAAUGACGGCGUCCGUGGGACCCUCGGUGCAACGAGCUUUUAACGAGCACGCGUCGAGUUUCAAGGACCCUCCGGGCCGGUCUAAACCUCUAUUUUUCUCAGGUUGACCUCGGAUCAGGUAGGAAUACCCGCUGAACUUAAGCAUAUCAAUAACCCGGGAGGAAAGGGAUCAUUACGAGUUUAGGGUAGUCACUCACUGCCCGACCUCCAACC
rnacentral:rRNA from 1 species